CCUACGGGAGGCAGCAGUGAGGAAUAUUGGUCAAUGGGCGCUAGCCUGAACCAGCCAAGUAGCGUGAAGGAUGACUGCCCUAUGGUUUGUAAACUUCUUUUAUAUGGGAGUAAAGUGCAGUAUGUAUACUGCUUUGCAUGUACCUUAUGCAUAAGGAUCGGCUAACUCCAUGCCAGCAGCCGCGGUAAUACGGAGGAUCCGAGCGUUAUCCGGAUUUAUUGGGUUUAAAGGGUGCGUAGGCGGGUUGGUAAGUCGGUUGUGAAAGUUUUCGGCUAAACCGUAAAAUUGCAGUUGAUACUAGCAUCCUUGAGUACAGUAGAGGUAGGCGGAAUUCGUGGUGUAGCGGUGAAAUGCUUAGAUAUCACGAAGAACUCCGAUUGCGAAGGCAGCCUGCUGGACUGUAACUGACGCUGAUGCUCGAAAGUGUGGGUAGCAAACAGGAUUAGAUACCCGAGUAGUC
rnacentral:rRNA from 1 species